CCUACGGGGGGCAGCAGUGGGGGAUAUUGCACAAUGGGGGAAACCCUGAUGCAGCGACGCCGCGUGUGGGAAGACGGUCCUCUGGAUUGUAAACCACUGUUCCCAGGGACGAAGAUGACGGUCCCUGGGGAGGAAGCUCCGGCUAACUGCGUGACCGACGCCUAGGUAAUACGUAGGGAGCGCGCGUUGUCCGGGGUUACUGGGUGUAACGGGAGCGUAGGCGGAGAUGAAGGUUGGGUGGAAACGCUACGGGCCAAACUGGUCGUCGCACUCGAAACCGCGGCUCUUGAGUGAAGUAGAGGCAGGCGGAAUGCCUAGUGUAGCGGUGAAAUGCGUAGAUAUUAGGAAGAACACCAGUGGCGAAGGCGGCCUACUGGGCUUUUACUGACGCUGAGGCUCGAAAGUGUGGGUAGCAAACAGGAUUAGAUACCCUUGUAGUC
rnacentral:rRNA from 1 species